rnacentral:rRNA from 1 species
UACGAAGGGUGCAAGCGUUACUCGGAAUUACUGGGCGUAAAGGGUGCGUAGGUGGUUCUUUAAGUCUGCUGUGAAAGCCCCGGGCUCAACCUGGGAAUGGCAGUGGAUACUGGAGAGCUAGAGUGCGGUAGAGGGUAGUGGAAUUCCCGGUGUAGCGGUGAAAUGCGCAGAUAUCGGGAGGAACACCGGUGGCGAAGGCGGUUCUCUGGGCCUUACCUGACGCUGAGGAGCGAAAGCGUGGGGAGCGAACAGG